ACGUAGAAUAUUAAUGGUCGAACAGACCAACCUUUAAAGACUUCUGCAUCUUUGGGAUAUUCUGGUCCAACAUCGAGGUCACAAACUUUUUUUUCGAUUAGAGCUCUAAAAAAAAAUAAUGCUGUUAUCCCUACGGUAACUAAUUCUUUUGGUCAAAUAGUUUUGGGUCGUAGCUGAAAGCUUGUUGAGAAAAGGAGGUUUUGGGUGCUCCUUGGUUGCCCCAACCAAAGUCUUUAGUAUUUUGAUUUCAGUUUAGUUAUGAGUACUAUACUAAUUUUUUUUAAGCUCGAUAGGGUCUUCUUGUCUUUUAGUAAUAUAUAGGCUUUUUCACCUAUAGAUAAAGUUUUAAGAAAUGAUACUGAGACAGGUUUAUCCAUGUCAAACCAUUCAUUCUAGCCCUCAAUUAUAGGGCAAGUUAUUAUGCUACCUUUGCACAGUCAGGGUACUGCGGCCGUUUAAGGUUCACCGGGCAGGUAUGAUUUCUUAUGGGUGUCAAGAAACGAUGUUUUU
rnacentral:rRNA from 1 species